GAAGAGGGAGAGCUUGUCGUCCAUGGGAUCGCUCCGCAUCAUCCUCCUCUCGAUAAGCUGGUUGAUUUGCCCGUUCACGUCCUGAAUCUGGAUGAGAAAAGAGGACGACCCACUGUAAGCCAGGGCAGGCACACUCAUGCUGAUCCACAGAGGGGUAACACACUGUUACGUGACACAUGCCUGGUGGGGAUGGUGAUGAACAUCCAGGAGGGGGCAUUAAACCAAAUGAGCCGAGGGCCUCGUUGGGGCACCAGGAGGCUGACCUUGUCCUCCAGCUCCUCCAGCUCGUCCUGCCCCAUGGCCGGCUCCAGCACCACCCUCUGCAGAUACUGCACCACCCGCCGCCUGCUCUCCAGCUCCUUAG